rnacentral:tRNA from 1 species
AGUUAACUGUUUAUGAACUUCAGGUGAUGGAAGAAUUAUGGAAUGGCUCAGACCAACAUCUAAUAAAAUGAA